CCCAACCAAGAGGUAUAAAGCCCGAUACCAGAUGGGGAAGUGUCAAAGGACUUUCAUAUUGGCAGCCAUUGUGCUGGGCAUUUUCCUUGUGAGGUACAGCCGCGAGAGUGCAGUUCCUGUGCCAGCACCUCCUUUCGGAAAACGAAGAACAAUCCCCAAACAGAACUAUAUUCAAGCAAGGCGCAAAGUCUGCCAAGCUGCCACACUAUUUGAUUGUAGAGAAAAUCCUAAAGAACAGUCCACCGAAAGAAGCAAUCAAUGCCUACCUCAACUGCAACUGAAACGAUAAACAUAAAGUGCCCUACUGAUGCUAUGCGCUAGGUUUUAAGGCUAAUUUAAGGGGAUUURAAUAAUUUAUGAUUUAACUAUUCUAUAGCUUAGAAAUACAGGAAAUUAAAAAAACACGUGUAGCCUCGGCAUACAUAGUUUGUGUCAUAAAAUCAGACCGAAGUGAUACAUGGGAUAGAAUUAAGAAAUUUAUUAUAGAAAUGCAACUUUGUACACACACCUACUUUUAACGUAUAAACGAGGCUUUUGUGUGGAAUAUGACAUAAAAUUUCGUUAUAGUUAUCAAAGGGCACCAUAAAUGGAAAUGUCAUGGAAGAAAUUGCGGGCAGUUUCAACAACUAUAUUGAACUACAAAAUACCCGGACGAAUCAUAGUUAGUAAAAUGAAAUUUAAAUUCAUUAAAGCAAUUUUAAAAUCA